CCUACGGGAUGCAGCAGUGAGGAAUAUUGGUCAAUGGGCGCGAGCCUGAACCAGCCAAGUCGCGUGAGGGAAGACGGUCCUCUGGAUUGUAAACCUCUUUUAUCUGGGAACAAAAGGCGCCACGCGUGGCGUUCCGAGAGUACCCGAUGAACAAGCAUCGGCUCACUCCGUGUCCGCAGCCGCGGUAAUACGGAGGAUGCGCGCGUUAUCCGGAUUUAUUGGGUUCAAAGGGUGCGCAGGCGGCAGAUCACGUCUGCGGUAAAAUUGAGAGGUUCAACCUCUUCGAGCCGUUGAAACUGGUGUUCUUGAGUGAGCGAGAAGAAGGCGGAAUUCGUGGUGUAGCGGUGAAAUGCAUAGAUAUCACGCAGAACUCCGAUGGCGAAGGCAGCAUACCGGCGCUCAACUGACGCUCAUGCACGAAAGUGUGGGUAUCGAACAGGAUUAGAUACCCCGGUAGUC
rnacentral:rRNA from 1 species